GACGAACGCUGGCGGCGUGCUUAACACAUGCAAGUCGUACGGUAAGGCCCUUUCGGGGGUACACGAGUGGCGAACGGGUGAGUAACACGUGAGUAACCUGCCCACAACUUUGGGAUAACGCUAGGAAACUGGUGCUAAUACUGGAUAUGUGCUCCUGCUGCAUGGUGGGGGUUGGAAAGCUCCGGCGGUUGUGGAUGGACUCGCGGCCUAUCAGCUUGUUGGUGGGGUAGUGGCCUACCAAGGCGGCGACGGGUAGCCGGCCUGAGAGGGUGACCGGCCACAUUGGGACUGAGAUACGGCCCAGAAUCCUACGGGAGGCAGCAGUGGGGAAUAUUGCACAAUGGGCGCAAGCCUGAUGCAGCAACGCCGCGGGCGGGAUGACGGACUUCGGGUUGUAAACCGCUUUCAGCAGGGACGAAGCUUUUUGUGACGGUACCUGCAGAAGAAGCACCGGCUAACUACGUG
rnacentral:rRNA from 1 species